rnacentral:lncRNA from 1 species
CCUGAGCAACCCUGGCAACCAUCUUUGCAGGGACUCUUCAGUGGGCACAGGGCCUGGAUCGUCAGCUGAGCAGUUGGGGCAGUGUUGCAUUUGAGCAACAAUGACCGCACCCCAUUCUGAUGACCAAGGCAAUAACGCUUGGUAAGCCUCUCAUGCCUGGCUCCAUAUUUCCCUAGGAAGAGGUCUCUUUCAAAUGAGGCACCACAUGCUUCUUGUAAAUAGACUUCCUUAUAGCCACUCCUCCAGCUUGCCAGACACACCCAGCCAUACCUGAGUCGUCUGCAAUGGACAAGACGAAAUCUUGAUCAACCCUGUACAACCAUGUGCCGUUUUUCCUAUUUGUAAGCCUUAUUUGUACUUAUAGGAUCACAAAGUACUUGAGAUCAGAGACCAUGUCUUCUACUUCUUUUCUAUCUGUAACGCUAGCAUAGUCUCAGAACUAUCCUAACAUUAAGCAAAACAAACCUAUAUAACCUUUUAUAGUUUACAAAGUACUCUUGUAAACAUUAUCUCAUUUAGUUUUUACAACAACCCUGGAGUUAGGUUGUUAUUAUCCUCAUUUGCAGAUGAGACAUCCCAAGUUGUCCAAGGUCACCAAGAUACCCAGUGGUGGAGCUGAGCCUUGAAUUACCAUUAACUGACUCUAGUGCAGGUCUCUUUCCAUUACUCCACAGCUGGCACAUCAGGGACCAGCUACAGUGCUUAUACUCUCAAUUGAGCUGCCACCUUUCCUCUAUUUGACCCCUUCUCAUCUUCCACAUUCCGGCAGGAAGGAUGAAAGAGGACUGAAGACCAACCGUUUUUACUGCAUCCCUUUUCUUUCCUUUUUCAACUUACUCUCUUGUAUGUGAGGUCUUUUCUUGCUUGGACCUCUGAGACCGCGCUAUGGACCGAAUGUCUGUGCCCUCCCAAAAUUCAUAUAUUGAAGCCUCAACCCCCAAUGUGAUGGUAUUUGGAGGUGGGGCCUUUGGGAGGUAGUUAGGUUUAGAAGCGAUCAUGAGAAUGGGUUCCCCAUGAUGGGAUUAGUGUCCUUAUAAGAAAAAGACCUGAGCUGUCUCUUGCUCUCCUUGAGGUGAGGACACAGCCAGAUGGCAGCUGUCUGCAAGUCAGGAAGAAACACCUCGUCCUGGAACCAAAUCAGCUGGCACCUUCAUCUUGGAUUUCCCAGCCUCUGGAACUGUAGGAAAUAAAUUCCUGUUGUUUGAGCCACCCAGUCUAUGUAUUUUUAUGGCAGCCGGAGCUGACUAAUACAGACCUCAUUGCCCAUUCUUUCUUUGUCUUUGACUCCUAGGUCUUUAGCCUGCUAUAAUCAUGGAAAGAAG